AUUGAACGCUGGCGGCAGGCCUAACACAUGCAAGUCGAGCGAGCGGCGGACGGGUGAGUAAUGUCUGGAAACUGUCUGAUGGAGGGGGAUAACUACUGGAAAACGUAGCUAAAACCCCAUACCAUCAGAUGUUGCCAGAGGGGGUUAGCCAGUAGGUGGGGUAACGGCUCACCUAGGCGACGAUCCCUAGCUGGUCUGAGAGGAUGACCAGCCACACUGGAACUGAGACACGGUCCAGACUCCUACGGGAGGCAGCAGUGGGGAAUAUUGCACAAUGGGCGCAAGCCUGAUGCAGCCAUGCCGCGUGUAUGAAGAAGGCCUUCGGGUUGUAAAGUACUGUCAGCGGGGAGGCGUUACCCGCAGAAGAAGCACCGGCUAACUCCGUGCCAGCAGCCGCGGUAAUUC
rnacentral:rRNA from 1 species